ACGGGGUGCAGCAGGCGCGAAAACUCCACAAUGUACGGAAGUACGAUGGGGUUAUCUCGAGUGCAGUCCGAUAAGGGCUGCUUUUCCAUAGAGUAAUAUCCUGUGGGAAUAAGAGGGGGGCAAGACUGGUGUCAGCCGCCGCGGUAACACCAGCCCCUCGAGUGGUGGGGACUAUUAUUUGGCCUAAAGCGUCCGUAGCUGGCUGUAUCCGUCUCCCGGUAAAUCCGGCGUCCUAAGCAUCGGUUCUCGGGUGAUACCAUACAGCUAGAGGGUGGGAUAGGUGAGCGGUAUUUCUGGGGUAGGGGCGAAAUCCUUUGAUCCCAGGAGGACACCAGUGGCGAAGGCUGCUCACUAGAACACGCCUGACGGUCAGGGACGAAAGCUGGGGCAGCGAACCGGAUUAGAUACCCGGGUAGUCCCAGCUGUAAACGAUGCUAGCUAGGUGUUGGGUCGGCCACGCGCCGCCCCAGUGCCGCAGGGAAGCCGUUAAGCUAGCCGCCUGGGGAGUACGGCCGCAAGGCUGAAACUUAAAGGAAUUGGCGGGGGAGCAC
rnacentral:rRNA from 1 species